rnacentral:rRNA from 1 species
AAAUUGAAGAGUUUGAUCAUGGCUCAGAUUGAACGCUGGCGGCAGGCCUAACACAUGCAAGUCGAACGGUAACAGGAAGCAGCUUGCUGCUUCGCUGACGAGUGGCGGACGGGUGAGUAAUGUCUGGGAAACUGCCUGAUGGAGGGGGAUAACUACUGGAAACGGUGGCUAAUACCGCAUAACGUCGCAAGACCAAAGAGGGGGACCUUCGGGCCUCUUGCCAUCAGAUGUGCCCAGAUGGGAUUAGCUUGUUGGUGAGGUAACGGCUCACCAAGGCGACGAUCCCUAGCUGGUCUGAGAGGAUGACCAGCCACACUGGAACUGAGACACGGUCCAGACUCCUACGGGAGGCAGCAGUGGGGAAUAUUGCACAAUGGGCGCAAGCCUGAUGCAGCCAUGCCGCGUGUAUGAAGAAGGCCUUCGGGUUGUAAAGUACUUUCCGCGGGGAGGAAGGUGUUGUGGUUAAUAACGACAGCAAUUGACG